AUGCAAAUAGCGGGAAGAACAAAGGAAGGGGGGCCCGGGACCCCCGGGGGCGCAGGAUCCGGCGGGAGGAGUCUGCGAGGAGGAGGCGGAGGACGAGGAGGAGGAGGGAGGGAGGAGAGAGGAAGACCGGAGUCCCCGCGGCGGCGGCGGCGGCGGCGGCGGCGGGGAGCCCCGCGCGGCUCCCGGGGACCGGGCGCUGCCACGAGGCCGGGACGCUGGACGCUGGGGAAUCUUCGCUCACGCUGCUACCCUCACGCCAGCUGCCAGCUCCUCGGAGGAGGACCACACCUGUGCCUGUUCCCGCUUUGGAGGAGAGGUGAGCUGAGAAACCGGGGAAUCCUCUGUUCCCCAGAGCUCCUAGCUAACCCCCGUCCCAGAAUUGGCCAAAAAGUGCUGCUUUCACCUGCUGACGGCUUUGGGGCCCCUCUUCCCUCCACCCUGGCAAGUUGUGGUCUACAGAUGUGUUGGGAUUUCUUUUCCCCCUGGACCUGCACCCCGCCAACCGGCGACUCACUGCUGGGUUUAGAUUGA
rnacentral:lncRNA from 1 species